rnacentral:lncRNA from 1 species
CUUUCCAGAAUACCCUCUGCUUGCAGCCGAGGGCCGUGUCUUCCCACCGACCGUCUACUAUAGCACUGAGCGCUGUUUGCCCGUGUCAGAUUUCUCACCCACAUGUUUGGGAGGCCAGUGAUGAUUCCCAGCAUUACUUGGAUCCAUCCAUCCAUCCAUCCAUCCAUCCAUCCAUCCAUCUAUCCAUCUAUCCAUUGCAUUUGGCCUCUCAACCUGGUGCUUUGGCCUUUCCCUUUCCUGAAAGCAAACCUUUUCCUUGUGGGCAGGCUGUGUAGCGCCAUGGGCUGUGGUUAUGAAGUGAACGCCCUUACUUGUGGCUUCUUCCUCCGGGGUCACUGCUCUGAGCAUGUCCCAGCUGGAUGUCGUCUGCCACAUCACCCACACGGCUUCCUUCCCCAUGGCGCAUUCCCAUGCAUCACACACUGCGAGGGAUCCAGG